UACGUAGGGUGCGAGCGUUAAUCGGAAUUACUGGGCGUAAAGCGUGCGCAGGCGGUUCUUAAAGUCAGCUGUGAAAGCCCCGGGCUUAACCUGGGAAUUGCGGUUGAAACUACAGGGCUAGAAUCUGGCAGAGGGGGGUGGAAUUCCACGUGUAGCAGUGAAAUGCGUAGAGAUGUGGAGGAACACCGAUGGCGAAGGCAGCCCCCUGGGCUGAGAUUGACGCUCAGGCACGAAAGCGUGGGGAGCAAACAGG
rnacentral:rRNA from 1 species